rnacentral:rRNA from 1 species
AUCCUAGCUUGCUAGGAGGCGUCGAGCGGCGGACGGGUGAGUAACACGUGAGAAUCUGCCCAUUAGAGGGGGAUAACCUGGGGAAACCCAGGCUAAUACCGCAUAAUCCCUACGGGGGAAAGCAGGGGAUCUUCGGACCUUGUGCUGAUGGAUGAGCUCGCGUCGGAUUAGCUUGUUGGUGAGGUAAUGGCUCACCAAGGCGACGAUCCGUAGCUGGUCUUAGAGGAUGAUCAGCCACACCGGGACUGAGACACGGCCCGGACUCCUACGGGAGGCAGCAGUGGGGAAUCUUGGACAAUGGGGGCAACCCUGAUCCAGCCAUGCCGCGUGUGUGAAGAAGGCCUUCGGGUUGUAAAGCACUUUCAGUAGGGAGGAAGGCUUAUCCUUAAUACGGAUGAGUACUUGACGUUACCUACAGAAGAAGCACCGGCUAAUUUCGUGCCAGCAGCCGCGGUAAUACGAAAGGUGCGAGCGUUAAUCGGAAUUACUGGGCGUAAAGCGCGCGUAGGCGGUUUGCUAAGUCAGAUGUGAAAGCCCCGGGCUCAACCUGGGAACUGCAUUUGAAACUGGCAGGCUAUAAUG